UGCCAGCAGCCGCGGUAAUACGGAGGGGGUGAGCGUUGUUCGGAGUUACUGGGCGUAAAGCGCGCGUAGGCGGACUAGUCAGCCAGAGGUGAAAUCCCAGGGCUCAACCCUGGAACUGCCUUUGAUACUGCUAGUCUUGAGUUCGAGAGAGGUAAGUGGAAUUCCGAGUGUAGAGGUGAAAUUCGUAGAUAUUCGGAGGAACACCAGUGGCGAAGGCGACUUACUGGCUCGGUACUGACGCGAGAUGCGAAAGCGUGGGGAGCAAACCGGAUUAGAUA
rnacentral:rRNA from 1 species